UUUCGCCAGGUUCUGGUGUUCUACCACCACACGUCCGCUGAUAGUUGCCCUAUGAUGUGGCCGGGAAACAAGAUCCCGGCGCCCUGGGCCAACACCACGAACACUACCAAGCUCGUCCAGUUUCUGGAGACCACACUGGAGGAGCGAGCCAAGUACGGCACCUUCCACGUCUCCCAGGCUAUCCUCACGCCGCAAGUCAAGACGAUCGUCAAAGGCCUAGUCCGAGGACUACGCAAUCACCUGGUGGAAAGAAAUCUACCAAAGAUAAUGACCUGGGUGGAAGCCCAAAAAGCCUGGUGUAGAUGGAGUGAACAUCAUCACGUCAGACUUUGUGGAGCUAGUUGACUUUGCUAACACUGUGAUCAAAUUAAACAACCUGCUUCUUGAAGACAGAGCUGUCAGGUGAUCUCUGCAGGUACCAGCUGUCACAGGUAGUCCGCCAAAGAGCCAGGGGGUCACUCUUGUCACAGAGCCAAGACGGUCAGCUUAUCAGCAGAGGACACUAUGAUUGGACCGACUCCAAGAGACAGUGCUCAAGCGGCCGCCCCAGAGCCGUGCCGUGCCGCGCCACGCCGCACCACAGUGAUGACAUUGAACUGUAAACAUCAGCGUUGUCUACGCCUUCACUACAGCACGCGAGGCAGUGGAGAGCGGGGGCUUAACCAAUCAUGGUCUAAGUCAUUAGUAAUGGACCCAAGGAUUAUCUGCAUUGUGCUGUUGCUCUCGCAAUGUCUCACAGUUGCCUAAAAGUUCGGGCUGUAUAGUGUUUCACUUUUUCAGGCUCUGAGCCUAUAUUCUGGACUGCUUUCAUAGUCUGUGGGUAGUGGAUUUCAUUCAGACUCAAACACAAUUGCAAGCAAUACACGAUCUCUCUCUCUCUCUCUCUCUCUCUCUCUCUCACUACCACAACACAAGCAGAGGCCAUAAUUUGUAGUGAUUACUUGCUAUUUAUUAUGGUUUUUAAUCAUGUGUUUUAAUAUCUGAUAUUAAAAUCACGUUGUUUUCAAACUGAGUGUCAUCAGGUUAGCCAUCACGUCAUCCAGAAGUCUUCUGAGCCAGAGAUUGGCUCACUUCACACCUUGUACUGUAAAUGGUUGUUCAACCCAGCAGACCAAAAUGUGUAUGAAAACACUUUCUCUCUCUGGUUGUCAGGAGGUGGGCACUGUGGUGUGGUCUGGAGAGUAUUCACACUGGGUGCAAGUGGGAACAAACAGCAUACCGAUAGAUUUGUGGCACGCUGCUCUGUGUUUCUGUUGGGGCGGACAGUCGCUCCACUUGUGGUUAGAAAUAAGAGCUGUGAAAGUAGAUAUCACAGUUUGUGGGUUUCACUCACGUGACUUUGCUGGUGUGGAUAGUCCCAUUUGCCCUUCAAUGCCAGCUAUAGCUCAGCCACCACCUGUAAGAUUAAAAUGGGAUCUCCGCUAAAGUCCAUUCUCGUGAGAUGAUUUUGUAUUCCUUAUUACAAUGGGUAUUGUGACAAGGUGUUUACAGGAACUGUUCCCUAAAUCCCCCUUGCCCAAGCCAACAGCAACAAUGACAUGCAAGCGACGCCGUAAAGGAAGAGGCCUUGAACAGAACCUGCAUAAGGGUGCAGUCUGAGUCAAACUGAUGGUGUGAACAGUGCAGCCAAACACUAAAUCGGCAGGCUGCCAUGUGAACUGUGCACAGAGGACGGGAACCCACCUGUAGGUGAAGAGUUAACUGGUUAACCCACAUCUAACCACAAGCUGCUCCAGGUGACCAUUUCCACAUUUCUGUGGAGUAAGUUGGAUAUAUGGGAUAUGCAGAAUUGGAAAGUACCAAAUAUUGUGUAUGGGGUUGCACAUUUAUUGCAAAUGCCUCAAACGUAUGGAAAGAUAUAUUAAAAUCUUGUCCGUUCACCUACAAAA